AUUGAACGCUGGUGGCAGGCUUAACACAUGUAAGUCGAACGGUAACAGGAAUUAGCUUGCUAAUUUGCUGACGAGUGGCGGACGGGUGAGUAAUGCUUGGGAAUCUGGCUUAUGGAGGGGGAUAACUACGGGAAACUGUAGCUAAUACCGCGUAAAAUCUUCGGAUUAAAGGGUGGGACUUUCGAGCCACCUGCCAUAAGAUGAGCCCAAGUGGGAUUAGGUAGUUGGUUAGGUAAAGGCUGACCAAGCCGACGAUCUCUAGCUGGUCUGAGAGGAUGACCAGCCACACUGGAACUGAGACACGGUCCAGACUCCUACGGGAGGCAGCAGUGGGGAAUAUUGCACAAUGGGGGGAACCCUGAUGCAGCCAUGCCGCGUGAAUGAAGAAGGCCUUCGGGUUGUAAAGUUCUUUCGGUGACGAGGAAGGUUGAUAGGUUAAUAGCCUAUCAAAUUGACGUUAAUCACAGAAGAAGCACCGGCUAACUCCGUG
rnacentral:rRNA from 1 species